GCCUAGUUCAGUCAGUAGAACAUGAGACUCUUAAUAUCGGAGUCGUGAGUUCAAGCCCCACGUUGGACA